rnacentral:rRNA from 1 species
CCUACGGGGGGCAGCAGUGAGGAAUAUUGGUCAAUGGGCGGAAGCCUGAACCAGCCAAGUCGCGUGAGGGAAUAAGGCCCUACGGGUCGUAAACCUCUUUAGGCGGGGAGCAAUGCCGGGCACGCGUGCCCGGAGGGAGAGUACCAGCAGAAUAAGCAUCGGCUAACUCCGCGCCAGCAGCCGCGGUAAUACGGGGGAUGCGAGCGUUAGCCGGAUGUCUUGGGGUUAAAGGGUGCGUAGGCGGAGUUUUAAGUCGGCGGUAAAAUGUCCGGGCUCAACCCGGGCCGGCCGUUGAAACUGGGGAUCUUGAGUGGGCGAGAAGUAUGCGGAAUGCGUGGUGUAGCGGUGAAAUGCAUAGAUAUCACGCAGAACUCCGAUUGCGAAGGCAGCAUACCGGCGCCCUACUGACGCUGAGGCACGAAAGCGUGGGUAUCGAACAGGAUUAGAUACCCCUGUAGUC